UUGUUGGGCGUAGGCUACCCUUUUAAGGCCCCCUACCUUCUUGGUUCAUUGUUAGUUGAAUCAUGAGUUUCUGACUUCUGAGAGAAAGAGUCGCCAUUUUUAGACCUUUGAAUUUUUUUGAGGUUUUGAAUUUUGAUGUUGGCUUAAUUAGCUGGAUUGUCACUUGUGAGGCAUUUCUUAGAAUGUGAUGGGUUUAAGUUGGUUCGGGUUGGCGGUUCGUGAGCUUGCUAUUAUUCUUGACGAAUUUUGAUGCUGAAAGACUUGGAAACCAUGCUGUCGACCACGUCGAGAAGCUGAGUAACAUUCUGCUUUUACAAUGGCACCGUUUUAAUAAAAGGAACUCAAGCCAUCACAAUCUAGGGCUUCCAUCAAAUCAUGCAGGCUGCAUGGAAGUCACAUUUACCGUUGCCGUGAACAUCAUGAAGACAUACACUAUUUGAAGUUUUAACAUUUUGGGAUUUCGUCAAGUCAACAGCUAUUUCCUUCAGGGUUUUGUUCUGUUAUGGAUUAUUUAAAGGGGAGUUUGUUGUAUGCAAGAAAGGCAGAUUCUGAAAGAAGUUUUGUUUAUUUGUUCCACUGUAGAGUAUCCUUUAAAGUUUAAAUGAAUUUGUAUUUAAAUCUUAAAUGAGUCAUCUAGUUU
rnacentral:lncRNA from 1 species